CCUACGGGAGGCAGCAGUGGGGAAUAUUGCACAAUGGGGGGAACCCUGAUGCAGCGACGCCGCGUGGGUGAGGAAGUACUUCGGUAUGUAAAGCCCUAUCAGCAGGGAAGAAAAUGACGGUACCUGACUAAGAAGCCCCGGCUAACUACGUGCCAGCAGCCGCGGUAAUACGUAGGGGGCAAGCGUUAUCCGGAUUUACUGGGUGUAAAGGGAGCGUAGACGGCGUGCCAAGUCUGAUGUGAAAGGCCGGGGCUCAACCCCGGGACUGCAUUGGAAACUGGCAUGCUGGAGUGCAGGAGGGGCAAGCGGAAUGCCUAGUGUAGCGGUGAAAUGCGUAGAUAUUAGGAGGAACACCGGUGGCGAAGGCGGCUUGCUGGACGGUAACUGACGUUGAGGCUCGAAAGCGUGGGGAGCAAACAGGAUUAGAUACCCGGGUAGUC
rnacentral:rRNA from 1 species